UACGUAGGGUGCAAGCGUUAAUCGGAAUUACUGGGCGUAAAGCGUGCGCAGGCGGUUUUGUAAGUUUGUCGUGAAAGCCCCGGGCUCAACCUGGGAAUUGCGAUGAAGACUGCAAGGCUUGAAUCUGGCAGAGGGGGGUAGAAUUCCACGUGUAGCAGUGAAAUGCGUAGAGAUCGGGAGGAACACCAGUGGCGAAGGCGGCUACCUGGACCAGCAUUGACACUCAAGCACGAAAGCGUGGGGAGCAAACAGG
rnacentral:rRNA from 1 species